CUUUCAAUGUGCAGCAUUAAGUGUUCACAUGUAGUAAAAUCAAAAGCUAUUUCAAUCAGAACCAUCUUAACAGAUCCAGUUCCAUGUUAACUUUGGACCUUCUCUGGUAUCACAGCACAAUUCUGGAUCCAUUGAACUUGUGAGUUUGUGGAAAGUUUCUGCUGAAUUUCUC